rnacentral:hammerhead_ribozyme from 1 species
AUUCAGCUGAUGAGUGGAACAUAGGACGAAACGAGUGUCCUGGAU